GCACAACGCGAAGAACCUUACCUGGGUUUGACAUGGCCGCAAAACCGGCAGAGAUGUCGGGUCCUUCGGGGCGGGUCACAGGUGGUGCAUGGCUGUCGUCAGCUCGUGUCGUGAGAUGUUGGGUUAAGUCCCGCAACGAGCGCAACCCUCGUUCGAUGUUGCCAGCGGUUCGGCCGGGGACUCAUCGAAGACUGCCGGGGUCAACUCGGAGGAAGGUGGGGAUGACGUCAAGUCAUCAUGCCCCUUAUGUCCAGGGCUUCACGCAUGCUACAAUGGCCGGUACAAUGGGCUGCGAUACCGUGAGGUGGAGCGAAUCCCAAAAAGCCGGUCUCAGUUCGGAUCGGGGUCUGCAACUCGACCCCGUGAAGUCGGAGUCGCUAGUAAUCGCAGAUCAGCAACGCUGCGGUGAAUACGUUCCCGGGUCUUGUACACACCG
rnacentral:rRNA from 1 species